GACGAACGCUGGCGGCGUGCCUAAUACAUGCAAGUCGAACGCAGUGGGGCCGGGUGAGUAACACGUGGGUAACCUCCCAGCAGAGGGGAUAAAACUUGGCAACAGGUGCUAAAACCGAUAUUGGUGGAUGUACCAGCGGUGCAUGAGCUAGUUGGUGAGGGAACGGCUCACCAAGGCGACGAUGCAUAGCCGACCUGAGAGGGUGAUCAGCCACACUGGAACUGAGACACGGCCCAGACUCCUACGGGAGGCAGCAGUAGGGAAUCUUCUGCAAUGGACGAAAGCCUGACCGAGCAACGCCGCGUGAGUGAAGAAGGUUUUCGGAUCGUAAAACUCUGUUGUUAGAGAAGCGUUAUCUAACCAGAAAGCCACGGCUAACUCCGUGCCAGCAGCCGCGGUAAUUC
rnacentral:rRNA from 1 species